AGACCAAGGUUUCCUGUCCCAUGCUAAUCAGGGCAGGGUGAGUCGGCCCCUAAGGCGAGGCAGAAAUGCGUAGUCGAUGGGAAACAGGUUAAUAUUCCUGUACUUAUGUAUAUUGCGAUGGAGAGACGGAGAAGGCUAGGCUAGCACGGCGAUGGUUGUCCGUGUUUAAGGUGGUAGGUUGAGAGCUUAGGUAAAUCCGGGCCCUCUUAAGACCGAGAACUGAUGACGAGUCCUCUUUUGGACGAAGUAGUUGAUGCCAUGCUUCCAGGAAAAACUUCUAAGCUUCAGAUAUACAUGAACCGUACCCCAAACCGACACAGGUGGUCAGGUAGAGAAUACCAAGGCGCUUGAGAGAACUCGGGUGAAGGAACUAGGCAAAAUGGCACCGUAACUUCGGGAGAAGGUGCGCCGGUUAGUGUGAAGGAUUUACUCCGUAAGCAUUGAUCGGUCGAAGAUACCAGGUGGCUGCGACUGUUUAUUAAAAACACAGCACUCUGCAAACACGAAAGUGGACGUAUAGGGUGUGACGCCUGCCCGGUGCUGGAAGGUUAAUUGAUGGGGUUAGCGUAAGCGAAGCUCUUGAUCGAAGCCCCAGUAAACGGCGGCCGUAACUAUAACGGUCCUAAGGUAGCGAAAUUCCUUGUCGGGUAAGUUCCGACCUGCACGAAUGGCGUAACGAUGGCCACACUGUCUCCACCCGAGACUCAGUGAAAUUGAAAUCGCAGUGAAGAUGCUGUGUAUCCGCGGCUAGACGGAAAGACCCCGUGAACCUUUACUAUAGCUUCACAGUGAACUUUGAACCUACUUGUGUAGGAUAGGUGGGAGGCUUUGAAACUAGGACGCCAGUUCUAGUGGAGCCAAACUUGAAAUACCACCCUGGUAUGUUUGAGGUUCUAACUCAGGUCCCUUAUCGGGAUCGAGGACACUGUGUGGUGGGUAGUUUGACUGGGGCGGUCUCCUCCCAAAGAGUAACGGAGGAGCACGAAGGUGUGCUCAGCAUGGUCGGAAAUCAUGCGUAGAGUGUAAAGGCAAAAGCGCGCUUAACUGCGAGACAGACACGUCGAGCAGGUACGAAAGUAGGUCUUAGUGAUCCGGUGGUUCUGUAUGGAAGGGCCAUCGCUCAACGGAUAAAAGGUACUCCGGGGAUAACAGGCUGAUACCGCCCAAGAGUUCACAUCGACGGCGGUGUUUGGCACCUCGAUGUCGGCUCAUCACAUCCUGGGGCUGAAGCCGGUCCCAAGGGUAUGGCUGUUCGCCAUUUAAAGUGGUACGCGAGCUGGGUUUAGAACGUCGUGAGACAGUUCGGUCCCUAUCUGCCGUGGACGUUUGAGAUUUGAGAGGAGCUGCUCCUAGUACGAGAGGACCGGAGUGGACGAACCUCUGGUGUUCCGGUUGUCACGCCAGUGGCAUUGCCGGGUAGCUAUGUUCGGACGGGAUAACCGCUGAAAGCAUCUAAGCGGGAAGCCUCCCUCAAGAUGAGAUCUCACUGGGACAUAAGUCCCCUAAAGAGCCGUUGAAGACUACGACGUUGAUAGGUUGGGUGUGUAAGUGCUGUGAGGCAUUGAGCUAACCAAUACUAAUUGCUCGUGAGGCUUGACCAU
rnacentral:rRNA from 1 species